GGCAUGCAAAAUGCAGUACAGGCUACGGCAGGCCAACGGCGGUCUGCGCACACGACAAAGGCGUCGC
rnacentral:ncRNA from 1 species